UAGUCUGGGAUACCACUUGGAAACAGGUGCUAAUACCGGAUAAGAAAGCGGAUCGCAUGAUCAGCUUUUAAAAGGCGGCGUAAGCUGUCGCUAUGGGAUGGCCCCGCGGUGCAUUAGCUAGUUGGUAAGGUAAAGGCUUACCAAGGCGAUGAUGCAUAGCCGAGUUGAGAGACUGAUCGGCCACAUUGGGACUGAGACACGGCCCAAACUCCUACGGGAGGCAGCAGAU
rnacentral:rRNA from 1 species